rnacentral:rRNA from 1 species
UGAGGAAUAUUGCACAAUGGGCGCAAGCCUGAUGCAGCAACGCCGCGUGAGGGACGACGGCCUUCGGGUUGUAAACCUCUUUUGGCAGGGAAGAAGCGAAAGUGACGGUACCUGCAGAAAAAGCACCGGCUAACUACGUGCCAGCAGCCGCGGUGAUACGUAGGGUGCAAGCGUUGUCCGGAAUUAUUGGGCGUAAAGAGCUCGUAGGCGGUUUGUCGCGUCUGCUGUGAAAACCCGAGGCUCAACCUCGGGCCUGCAGUGGGUACGGGCAAACUAGAGUGCGGUAGGGGAGAUUGGAAUUCCUGGUGUAGCGGUGGAAUGCGCAGAUAUCAGGAGGAACACCGAUGGCGAAGGCAGAUCUCUGAGCCGUAACUGACGCUGAGGAGCGAAAGCAUGGGGAGCGAACA